UUCAUCCGAGGGCAUCUUUGCUCCCUCUUCGUUCCGUCCUGUCCCGUCUGCAUACCAAACGAUACAAUGAACUGCUUUUUGUACUUUUAAGCUAUAACAAUGGAUAUUUCUCUCAUUUUCGACUUCAAGGAAAAUCUCUUGUUUUGGAAUCUGGCUCACAACAAUGUUUCUGACUAUAUUUGGCAAAGCAUGUGUUGAAAUUUUGAGUUUUUUUGGCUUGAAAGUAAAAGAAAUAUUGAGUUAUUUUUUCUUUGUUACAUUUGAGGAAAUUGAUUAUUUUACCUAUCUUAAUUCUAAUAUUUUAUCCACCAUCUUUCGCUACUUAGGCUAAUGCCACUAAUCCAAUGACUUUGAUAUCGAAUGAAUGACUUCAUGGAUGUAUGUUGAAAACAAAUAAAAAUAUCCUGUGAUUUUUCUUUUUUUGGUUAUAUUCGAGUAAACCAAAUAAUUGACUUAUCCUAAUCCUAACCUAUUUCCCCACCGUCCUUCACUACUUCGGCUUAACCCCAACACAACAAUGUAAUAUUCUAAGCACUCAUGGAAUGACAUGGAGUGUAAUUUGAACCAUAAAACCUAUCAAAAAUAUGAGGAGUAGUCCAAUUAUAUGAACUGAUCAUCUUUGCCGAUGACACUAAUCUCCAAUCUUUUGUGCCAUGAUUUUUCUCGUUUGUUUGAACUGCUUUUUGUACUAGUAAGAUGUAACAAUGAAUAAUUUCUCGUUUUCGGUUUGGUUUCAAAGAAAAUCUCGUUUCAGAAUCUGGCUCACAACAAUGUUUCUGACUAUAUUUGCAAAACCUAUGUGCUGAAAUUUUGGAUUUUUUUUGCUUGAAAAAGAAAAGAAAGAAAUAUAGAGUUAUUUUUUUCUCUGUUACAUUUGGGAAAAUCGAUUAUUUAGCCUAUCUUAAUUCUAAUAUGUUACCCACCAUCUUUCACUACUUGGGCUAAUCCAAUGACUUUGCUAUUGAACGAAUAUGACGUUAUGGAUGUAUUUUGAAAACAAAUAAAAAAAUUCAAUGACUUUUCUGUUUUUCGGUUACAUUAGAGUAAACGAACAGUUGACCUAUCCCAAUCCUAACCUAAUACCCACAGUUCUUCACCACUUGGGCUAAACCCCGACACAACAAUGUAAUAUUCUAAGCAUUCAGGGAAUGACGGGGAGUGUAGUUUGAACCAUAAAACCCAUUAAGAAUCCGAGUGGUCCAAUUCUUUAUAAGCACAUGUGUUAAUCACGCUUUACCAAACAAAACACAAAUCAAGUUGGACAACUACGUCCAGCUCCAGCUAAUUCCAAUGCUAAGCCUAAGUCAAUGUAGGAAGGAAACAAGUUUUAUCCAUGCUCGAUAAAAAGCAAUCACUCUCCACCAAGGCAGAAAUAUUCUUAUCCUUACACACAACACAACUCAACACAUGGAACAGAACUGCUUGUUUCAAAUUUUGCUAGAUAUGGGUUUUACUCACUUUGGAUAGGAAUGUCAGCCAACGUGUUAAGUGA
rnacentral:lncRNA from 1 species